UAAGCACUUUUCGCAUAAAAUCUCAAAAUAUAUAAAUACCUUGGCUUUCAACCCAGUUCCGAUCGAUAGAUCAUUUUUUUUCCAACCUUCCGCCGUUUAUCCGAACCCUCGAGGUCAACCAGUGUAUACACACGGCGGCAAAUUCAAAGUCUACGGAGAUUUAACAUUGUCAAAAUGGCCACCACUUCGGAAGGGGAUCAUCCAUUGUUCGUAAUUUUCCGUACGUCGUCGUCAGUAAGGAAAUGACGUCACACACGUUCGGGAGUGCUCUAUGGUUAUCGACGUCCGAAAAACCUAUAACGCCCGAGACUUCCAAGUAUAUAUUUAUACUACAAGAAAUAUUACUUCUUCAACAAACUUUCAUACCCAGACUGAGACCCAAGGGACCAAAGAUUCAUAAAAGGGUUAGUCACUGCAUAAAGGCAAAGAGUUUUAGAACAUGGAACAUGAAAUUACAGAAAUUCCAGAUUUUUUCCAAACCUAAAAAACUGUAGGGUCAGGUGCGAAAAAUUAAGGAUAUUAGAACAAAAUAAGAAGAAUAAUUGUCAAGUGCCCACUGAUGCUGGAGUCCAUGCUGUAGAAAAGACAUGAAACAGAAGUGAGAAAAUGUCAACAUCAGUCAUCUAUGAAGAUGGAGAUUGCCUCUAUUCUAAAAUUUCUGAGGAAAAUGGUGUUGUCUGGCUCAUCCAAUGAUCACUCCAUUUGCAGAAUACCAGGUUUCAAUCUGAAGUAUACAUAGGAAGAGCAAAAUCUUUCUCAUUCAUAUACAAUGUAAACACUUACAACCUGUGAUCCAGAAAAAUGUCCUGAUUGUUUA